CCAAGCUCCUGGAGCACUGAUGAGGGCGACAGAGAGGAGGAGAAGAAGAGCGGGAGGAAAAAAGAAGGAGAUGAGUAAAGAAGAAAGUGAGUGAGAAAGUGAAUAAAGAGUUUCUAAAUGGAAAGUAAGAGAGUAAGAGAAAGAUGAGAAGAAAGAAGAGGAACGUAGUAGAAAAAGAGGCAGGAAGUAUGAAGAUAUAGCACGGGAAGAUAAACACUAUAGAAACAAAAAAGAGUGUUCAGGAAGCAGAGGAGGGAGUUUUGAGUGAUAGCGAACAUACUGUAGAUGAAAGCUGUCGGAGGAGUGGGACGCUGAGAAGCGUCAGCAUUGUCAGAGCAUGUUCAGCCCUCAGGGACAGCCAGGGGCCGGCCGUCAGCCUUUAUUUGGAGAGCAGAAGCUUUUCCACACUACCUGAAAUCAGCUGAGAGGUUAAGUCGUGGUGUGUGCAAGCUGCCAGCAUCAGAUCAUCGUCCUCAAAGUGUGGGGGCAAGAAGGAAAGAUGUUGGGUGCCCCCCGGUGGAGACUGUUUACUGUGUGCAAAGUGCUCUCCGCUCUCCUUUCAGUGUUUGUUAGUUAAUCACCAUCUGCUGCUGCUGCAGUUAGUUGUAUAGCAAGAGUGGAGAGGAAAGGUGAGUAUUCUCAGUCAACCAGCUUCUCAUACAAAUAAAUGGUUUUAAUGGCUCCACAGUGUGAUGAACAAAAAAGCUUCAAAAAUACUGGUUGACAGUUUGACUUGGUCCUGUCACUGAAGAUUAGCUUCCAUUAGCUACUACAGCACUGAUGGGUGGGGAGGGUCAGCUGGUGUUGUGAAUCAGGCCGCUGAAGUGUCACGCACGGCUUUUUCACAACACCAGGGUUCCUCCCUACUACUUCCUGCUAGGACACAUCCACCACAUGUCUCUGCACAAUGCUGUACAUUAGAAUACAGCAAAACACAAAGUGUAAAUGUACGAGUUACUAACAAGUUUUUAAGGAAUGUCAUUUCAUUGUUAAACAGUAAAUAACUAUUAACUUGUGACUUAUUACCAAUAGUAUCGUGUUACCUACCAGCUUUGGAACAGUUUGCUAUUAUCACUAUCAUCU